CAACACACCACCCACAUCUGGCAGGAAACCAGAUGCAGGCUAGGCGUUUGUGGGCCUGUUCUACUUGCUGUCCUACAUGGAUCCAAUCUAGGAUCACACGCUGCAAGUAGUUGUCAUGUCUCCUUAGUCUGCUGUAUACUGGACCUGCUUCUUAGCCUUUCUGUGUCUUCCACGACCUUGACACUUUUGAAGGGUACAGACAAGUUGUUUUCAAGGAUGUCUCUGAGUUCGGGUUUGUCUGAUGUUUCCUUAUGGUUAUAUUCAGAUGAUGCAUUUUUGAUGAGAAUACCACCAAAGUGAUGUUCUGUCCUCUUGGUGCAUCGUACCGGAAGCACGGGAUGCUGGUCUGUCCAUUGUCGCUGAUGUUUGAUUUGAUCACUGGGUUAAGGUGGUGUCCUCCAGGUUUCUCCACUGUAGUUAUUAUUUUUCCCUUUGUAAUUAAUAAAUAAUUUGUGGGAAGCUA